rnacentral:rRNA from 1 species
CCUACGGGGGGCUGCAGUAACGAAUCUUCCGCAAUGCACGAAAGUGUGACGGAGCGACGCCGCGUGUGGGACGAAGUCCUUCGGGAUGUAAACCACUGUCAGGGGAAAGAAAGUUCUGAUCUACCCCAGAGGAAGAGGCGGCUAACUCUGUGCCAGCAGCCGCGGUAAUACAGAGGCCUCGAGCGUUAGGCGGAAUCACUGGGCUUAAAGCGUGUGUAGGCGGACGGCUAAGUGCUUUGUGAAAUCCCACGGCUCAACCGUGGAAUGGCUUGGCAUACUGGUCGUCUUGAGCGGUCUAGGGGCGAGCGGAACAGAUGGUGGAGCGGUGAAAUGCGUAGAUAUCAUCUGGAACGCCAAUGGUGAAAACAGCUCGCUGGGGACCUGCUGACGCUGAGACACGAAAGCCAGGGGAGCAAACGGGAUUAGAUACCCUUGUAGUC